CUGCAGUUAUGCAAGAACAGAAAAAUCAUCCUUACGAUGAUGGUCUACCGCUUGGCUUGAACUGUAGAUCUUCAGGAAGAUGAUUUCCAUUGUUGGCCCUGCUGUGAGGCAGUAGUGGGAUUUGUU